AUCUUCCACAAUGGACGAAAGUCUGAUGGAGCAACGCCGCGUGCAGGAUGACGGCCUUCGGGUUGUAAACUGCUCUUAUAUGGGAAGAUUAUGACGGUACCAUAUGAAUAAGCACCGGCUAACUCCGUUCCAGCAGCCGCGGUAAUACGGAGGGUGCAAGCGUUAUCCGGAUUUACUGGGUUUAAAGGGUGUGUAGGCGGAUAUUUAAGUCAGAGGUGAAAUCUCCGGGCUCAACCCGGAAACUGCCUUUGAUACUAUUUAUCUUGAAUUUCGUUGAGGUUGGCGGAAUAUAUCAUGUAGCGGUGAAAUGCAUAGAUAUGAUAUAGAACACCGAUUGCGUAGGCAGCUGGCUGAACGACGAUUGACGCUGAGGCACGAAAGCGUGGGUAGCGAACAGG
rnacentral:rRNA from 1 species